rnacentral:rRNA from 1 species
UACGUAGGUGGCAAGCGUUGUCCGGAUUUACUGGGCGUAAAGGAUGCGUAGGUGGAUAUUUAAGUGGGAUGUGAAAUACCCGAGCUCAACUUGGGUGCUGCAUUCCAAACUGGAUAUCUAGAGUACAGGAGAGGUAAGUGGAAUUCCUAGUGUAGCGGUGAAAUGCGUAGAGAUUAGGAAGAACACCAGUGGCGAAGGCGACUUACUGGACUGUAACUGACACUGAGGCAUGAAAGCGUGGGGAGCAAACAGG